AAGGUGUAGCAGAAUAUCGCUCAUCAUGAGAGGAAAGUCCGAGCUACAUUGAGAUGGGGUUCUAUCUAACAGAUAGCUAUCGCAAGAUAAGGGAAAGUGCCACAGAGAAUAGACUGCUCGAACGAGUGAUGGUGAAACGGCGGUGUAAGAGACCACCAAGUCUGUGGCAACACAGAUUGUAUGGUAAACCCAACCCGUAGCAAGAAGGCUUUGGUAACAAUCUCAAAUCUUUAAGUGCCUUCGCAAGAGCGUUAUUGUGAAAUAAUCGCCUAGACAAAUGAUAUUCAAAUACAGAACUCGGCUUAUAGCUGCACCUUAUGC
rnacentral:RNase_P_RNA from 1 species